rnacentral:rRNA from 1 species
AGCGAACGCUGGCGGCAGGCCUAACACAUGCAAGUCGAACGAACCUUUCGGGGUUAGUGGCGGACGGGUGAGUAACACGUGGGAACGUGCCUUUAGGUUCGGAAUAACUCAGGGAAACUUGUUCUAAUACCGAAUGUGCCCUUCGGGGGAAAGAUUUAUCGCCUUUAGAGCGGCCCGCGUCUGAUUAGCUAGUUGGUUGAGGUAAUGGCUCACCAAGGCGACGAUCAGUAGCUGGUCUGAGAGGAUGAUCAGCCACAUUGGGACUGAGACACGGCCCAAACUCCUACGGGAAGCAGCAGUGGGGAAUCUUGCGCAAUGGGCGAAAGCCUGACGCAGCCAUGCCGCGUGAAUGAUGAAGGUCUUAGGAUUGUAAAAUUCUUUCACCGGGGAAGAUAAUGACGGUACCCGGAGAAGAAGCCCCGGCUAACUUCGUG